CAGGGCUGAAGGCCAGCAAUUGAAUGGUCCCCUGGGACUUCUGCCUCACAGUCAGAUUCCAGGUCUCCUGGGAAGGGCAGUAGGCAGCAGUGGGGUGACAGGAAGUGGGAGGUAGGGGCCCCAAGAGAUCCCUGGGCAAAGUCAGGGCAGCAUUGACGUCACACAUCAGGCUGGAAUCUGACAUGCAGGCUGCUGGGGAGGUGAGCAGCCCAACUGUCCCACUGCAGCUACAUCUGGCACGUGAAGCUCCAGAUUCACCUUCCCUCUUCCUGCCGGAGCUGGUCCUCCCCUCAGUGGCCCCAUUGUUCCAUGCCUCAGUCUCAUCUCUUCUUCCCUCUAAACAUGGCUGCUGUCAUCUUGCCCCACAAGAGCAACACGAAGACCUCAGAGCCAACAGAACUGUGGAUUAGAGCCAUCAGCCUGGAUGAACGCUUAGAGAUCAUCGAAUCCAACCCCUGUCCAGAUAGGGAAACUGAGGCCCAGAGAGGCAGAAGGCACAGAGCAGUUAGCAAGAAAGCAAGGACAAGACCUCCAGAUGCAACCUCCUGGGGAGGAGGAUGCACAGCCCCGUUCAUGGCCCCGUGUCUCAGCUCAUUCUUACCUCGCCUGGAGUCUGGUCCAGGUGUGGCUUCUUGCGCCUGGCGAUGGGGGGCCAGCCUGUGUGGGGAAUGGUUGGGGGUAUCACUGCUUCACGACUAACUUGACCCAGCCUCUGGCACCCCUCACUGCCACAGGGGCAUUUUUAAGCGACUGGCACUGGACCCCCUCCCCUUAGCCCCUUGCCCGCGGCUCCCUGGCCACAGAGGGUUCUCUGCCUUUUACCUUAUAAGAGCUAAAGAGGCGAGCCUGGUGCUGGGGAGAGGUGGGUGCGGAGUCCUCCCGGGGUCCCCCAUUGGCCCAGGAGCCCAACACGUGACUGCCUCGCCUUGACCUGCCCCUAGUGCCGAAUGUUGCUUUUACCCCCUAAGGAAGGAGUGGUUGACAAUUUUCAUAUUUCUUCUAAAUUUGGAGAUUUCAGACAAUGCUGGGAGGCUUGGCUCCAGCCGCCAGAGGCCCAUGUGGAAGUCAUUAAGCUCCAGGAGGGGGCAGGGGGAGAGAGGGAGGCAGGGCGAAGAGGAGGAGGAGGAGGAAGAGGUGGGGGACGAGCUCUGAGGGCUGCCAGUUGUCAGCCUGGGAACACGAGCAAACUCCCUGGGAGAAAGCUAUGUGUGAGAAUCUCCUUCCUCUCCUGGCUCCCGAGUCCCAGGAAGGAAGUGAGAGUUCUGAGACUUUCUUGGAAUCCCCAGUGAGGAAGGCAUCAGUCUCGGGGUCCUGGGGGUGAUGGGGAUAGCAGGGCAUGGGAGACCACGGGGGAAGUAAGUUUCUUGGAUGGCCAUCCUUGUCACUGUGCAGAGGAGGCCCAGGCCCCCCCACAGCGAGGCUGCCAUAGACAGGGCAGGGGCUGGGAUCAUGGAUGUCCUAUUGCAGGCUCUUGUUCCCUGAGGAGUGAGUAUCUCUCACCAUAGAGGCCUUUCUUAUUGUGCUUUGGCCACCUUGACCUCCUAUAGAUGCCUUAGCUUUUUUUUUUUUUGCCUCAGGGCCUUUGCAUAUACACAUGCUUUCUGUCCAAAAUGCUCUCUUCCUAGAGUGAAUCAUGCCCAAUUCUUUUUUUUUUUUUUUUGGUACCAGGGAUCGAACUUGGGUCCUUCUGCUUGCAAGGCAGGCGGUGGAACCACUGAGCUAAAUCCCCAGCUCUAAUCAUGCCCAAUUCUUUCCCCUGCUCCUAUUCCCGGUUCAACUGUCACUCUGGGCAGAGCCUUCCCCCAGUCACAUCCCUGUUCACCACAACUCCUGCUCACCUGACAGGACUCAGCACGCAUGUGCUCACCUGGCAUGCUUGCUCGUCUAGUUCCUUGCUGUCCAUCUCUUCCGUGAGAACAUGGCUCCCUGGGCAGGGUCUACAUCUCCAGGCUUCCCACAGCGCCUAUAAAGAAUGGUUCAGUAGCAGCCACUUGCCAAGAAGCUGCCACACUGAGGCCUGCAGAGCUCCUCCCAGUGGCCGGCCAUGCCUUGCACCGAAGGUGUGGAGAGCCAGGUCAGAUAUGGCCCUGGCCUUAAGAGGCCCCAUCCAGCCAGGCAUGGUGGCACGUGCCUGUAAUCCCAGCUUUCUGGGAGCCUGAGGCAAGAGGGGACCCUGUUUUAAAAUAAACAACAAAAAAGGGCUAGGGCUGUAGCUCAGUACGUAAGCCCUGUGUUCAAUCACCAGUACCCUUCCCCCGAGAAUUGUGAGUACAAGAGCCCAACAUACAGCGGACUUGUCAUUAACAUCACCUCCUUCUUUCCUGAACCCCAAAG
ensembl:lncRNA